rnacentral:lncRNA from 1 species
UCAUCUGAUAUUUUAAAUACAGAGGGAUUGAUAUAAGUGGGUUAAAUAAUCACUUUUACUAAUACCACUAAAGCAAGAAGGACUCUUGGUAGAUUCUUGCAAUAAUCUAGACACAGGAUAAGAUCUAAACAGAGACAGUGUCAGUUGAUGUGUAAACUAAACAUCAGUUGAUGCUGAGUUUCAAAGCUACGGGACAUUUUACCACACAAUGUACUGUGCCUAGGUUCAACCCAGACAGCUCUCAUUUGUGAAGGAGAAAAUAGUGAACGAGACAUUAGAGGAGGCUUGGCCAAGUUUCUCUCAGCUGCCAAACAUUACCUGCCUAACAAAGCAAACAUCUUAUAAGAUUGGGGUGAGAUUUCUCCCGUUCUUUGGCUCUCUGACAUGUCCGACACCAGCUGGCUUGCUCGCCGCCCCCCCCCCCCAUCUACCUGGCGCCAGGUGGGUGUAAGUUGGGCAGAAAGCCCUCAUUCUUUGUAGGUAGCUUUGGGGCUGACAACUGACAACAUCAGGAUGUGUUGAUUUCAUCAGGUGCACUUUCAGCAGAGAUGAGCAACCAUGAGCUUGGCAGUAUCCAUUAGAAGACUGGCUUCCCACUUCCAGUUACUCUACGUGAGCUUAUAACUGAGAUAAAGCUAAUCCUCCCAAGGCCUGUUAGUGAAAAAUCAACCCGGCAAGAAGCACAGCCUGGGAGUGCUGAACUCUUCCUACUAUGCGAGGUUCGAGAAAUGCUGCACAAGGAACAUUUGGACGAUGGCGGCUCUGGGAGGCAAUGUCAUAAAAUGUAGAGACCCAUCUCCA